rnacentral:rRNA from 1 species
AUAUUGGACAAUGGGGGGAACCCUGAUCCAGCGACGCCGCGCGAGUGAAGAAGUAUCUCGGUAGGUAAAGCUCUAUCAGCAGGGCAGAANGAACUGACGGUACCUGCGUAAGAAGCCCCGGCUAACUACGUGCCCGCAGCCGCGGUAACACGUAGGGGGCAAGCGUUAUCCGGAAUUACUGGGUGUAAAGGGAGCGUAGACGGUGAUGUAAGUCUGGAGUGAAAGGCGGGGGCCCAACCCCCGGACUGCUCUGGAAACUAUGUGACUGGAGUGCAGGAGAGGUGAGCGGAAUUCCUAGUGUAGCGGUGAAAUGCGUAGAUAUUAGGAGGAACACCAGUGGCGAAGGCGGCUCACUGGACUGUAACUGACGUUGAGGCUCGAAAGCGUGGGGAGCAAACAG